GGCCCGUUGGUCUAGCGGUAGGACGUCAGCCCCUCAAGCUGACAGGGCGGGUUCGAUUCCCGCACGGGUCA
rnacentral:tRNA from 1 species